rnacentral:sRNA from 1 species
GUCGGAUUCGGGAUGAAGUGAUUGACCUUCUCGGCCAUCACCGCCAAGGUGCGCUUGCCGUCCUGAACCAUCUGCACGCCGCGGCGCUUGAACUCCUU